rnacentral:rRNA from 1 species
CAGCCGAUAAGAGAAGGAGCUUGCUCCUUUGACGUUAGCGGCGGACGGGUGAGUAACACGUGGGCAACCUACCCUAUAGUUUGGGAUAACUCCGGGAAACCGGGGCUAAUACCGAAUAAUCUAUGUCACCUCAUGGUGACAUACUGAAAGACGGUUUCGGCUGUCGCUAUAGGAUGGGCCCGCGGCGCAUUAGCUAGUUGGUGAGGUAAUGGCUCACCAAGGCGACGAUGCGUAGCCGACCUGAGAGGGUGAUCGGCCACACUGGGACUGAGACACGGCCCAAACUCCUACGGGAGGCAGCAGUAGGGAAUCUUCCACAAUGGGCGAAAGCCUGAUGGAGCAACGCCGCGUGAGUGAAGAAGGUUUUCGGAUCGUAAAACUCUGUUGUAAGGGAAGAACAAGUACAGUAGUAACUGGCUGUACCUUGACGGUACCUUAUUAGAAAGCCACGGCUAACUACGUGCCAGCAGCCGCGGUAAUACGUAGGUGGCAAGCGUUGUCCGGAAUUAUUGGGCGUAAAGCGCGCGCAGGCGGUCCUUUAAGUCUGAUGUGAAA